GGUAGGCCCCGGCACACUGGUGUGAUGGUCGGGAUGGGACAGAAAGAUGCUUAUGUGGGUGAUGAAGCUCAAUCUAAGAGAGGUAUCUUGACCUUGAAAUAUCCCAUUGAGCACGGUAUAGUUAGCAACUGGGAUGACAUGGAAAAAAUUUGGCAUCACACUUUCUACAACGAGCUGCGUGUUGCUCCUGAGGAGCACCCUGUGCUUCUCACCGAGGCACCACUCAACCCCAAGGCCAACAGAGAGAAGAUGACCCAAAUCAUGUUUGAGACCUUCAAUGUUCCUGCAAUGUAUGUUGCUAUUCAGGCUGUUCUCUCUCUCUAUGCUAGUGGCCGUACAACUGGUGUGUAUCAAUUCUUACAAUCUGAAUUUUGUUCCUCAAAUAUGUUUAUAUACUUUUAUCAAUUCUUUCAAUCUGAAUUUUUGUUCCUCAAAUAUGUUUAUAUAGUUUUAUAUGAUGCCUAUCAAUUUGUAUUGUUGGACAGGUAUUGUGCUGGAUUCGGGUGAUGGUGUAAGCCACACUGUGCCCAUUUAUGAGGGGUAUGCUCUUCCCCAUGCCAUCCUUCGUCUGGACCUUGCUGGUCGGGAUCUUACAGACUAUCUCAUGAAGAUCCUCACUGAAAGAGGUUACAUGUUUACCACCUCAGCCGAAAGGGAAAUUGUCCGUGACGUGAAGGAGAAGCUUGCUUAUGUCGCUCUUGACUAUGAGCAGGAUCUU
rnacentral:lncRNA from 1 species